UACGAGGGAUGCAAGCGUUAUCCGGAAUUAUUGGGCGUAAAGCGUUUGUAGGCGGGCGAGUGUGUUUAAUGUUAAAUCUUAAAGCUCAACUUUGAAAUUGCGUUAAAAACUGCUUGUCUUGAGUAUGGUAGGGGUAAAGGGAAUUCCCAGUGUAGCGGUGAAAUGCGUAGAUAUUGGGAAGAACACUAAACAGCGAAGGCACUUUACUAGGCUAAUACUGACGCUGAGAAACGAAAGGUAAGGUAGCGAAACGGAUUAGAUACCCGUGUAGUCUUACCCGUAAACUAUGGACGCUAAACGGUAAAUUUUUAAUUUACUGUUAAAGCUAACGCGUUAAGUGUCCCGCCUGGGGAGUAUGCUUGCAAAAGUGAAACUCAAAGGAAUUGACGGGGGCCCGCACAAGCGGUGGAGCAUGUGGUUUAAUUCGACGGUACACGAAGAACCUUACCAGGAUUUGACAUGCUAGAUAGUUGCUUGAAAGAGUAACGUGCCGUAAGGAAUCUAGACACAGGUGGUGCAUGGCUGUCGUCAGUUCGUGUUGUGAAAUGUUGGGUUAAGUCCCGCAACGAACGCAACCCUUGUCUUUAGUUAUUUUCUAAAGAGACUGCCUGUAAUAAACAGGAGGAAGGUAAGGAUGAGGUCAAGUCAUCAUGCCCCUUAUGUCCUGGGCUACACACGUGCUACAAUGGGAAAGACAAUGAGCUGCAAAUCUGUAAAUUUAAGCAAAUCUCUUAAACUUUCUCGUAGUUCGGAUUGUGGGCUGCAACUCGCCCACAUGAAGUUGGAAUCGCUAGUAAUCGCCAGUCAGCUAUAUGGCGGUGAAUCCGUUCCCGGGCCU
rnacentral:rRNA from 1 species